CCCUACAAAUAGCAGAAGCUACAGGGCAAAAGGAGGUUCUUGACUUCUUUAGACAACAAGUGGCAAAGGAGGGGCAGUAGAAGAUGGUCGCUCCUCUUCAGAAAUACCAGCUUUGAACGUUAAUAGUGUUAAGCAGUUAUGGGAGGAGAAGAGGGAAGGAACAAUGGUAGCUGCGCUUGGAGCAUACAGAAAAGCGAGAGCUUAGACAUAUUCUUUACUUAGGAUCACAUUAAGCUCUUACUGAUUUUCUAAAGAUGAUUUGCUGCUUUAUCUUUCAGUCACUUUUUUUUUUAAAGAAUUUUUUAUAACCAGUGAGGCUGGAAUGUAUUGCCUUUACUAUACAAGCUCUGUUUUUAAAGAGGCCUUUUGAAUCUUCUUAUGUUAAAUGAAUGAGGACAGUAUUGCAGGCAUAGCAAACAGAAACGCUGUGGCGAAUUCAUACCAAGAAAUAACA